UUGCUUUGUUUUUAACUCUACCAUCUCCCUUUUUUUUCUGAAUUUACACUGCAGCAAAGACAACAAUUUGCUUCUAGAUCUUUUCUAUCCUUUCAAAAGCUGCCCCAAGACAGAGACCCCAUCAGCUUUCCAGCUUGACCCAACCCGUGCUUGGUUUUUGCCAAUGGACCAUCAAGUCUCUAUCUUAGGACCUUGAGCAAAUGCUGGGCUUGAAUCCGACAGGAGGAGGAAUGAGCCCAGGACUGACAUCACCUAACAGACUAUAGGCAGGUCUGUUGUUCUUUGGGAAAUCUAAGAAAAAGCUGAUGGUGUCUGACAUGGCAGCCCUGGCUUGUGGUCUAGCUGACACGGAGUUACCUGAUGUCCCGUGCAGCUCACUUGUUCAUUCAGGGAUGCUGCCAUAAGGAAGUGAUUAUUAUAGCAGCAGUGGUCAUCAUCAUUCCAUUAUGAGAGAACCCUAAAAGAAUCCUAGAUAUUUUUCCCUUUCACAUGAUUUAGCACUGAACCAACUUUGAGGUCUCCUCCCUCCAGACUCCCUCUUACUUAAGAAAAACAAGCAGUAAAAAAUAAUUCAG